CCUGUAUAUCACACUGCCGCUGGGGAUCUGAGCCGACCGCCCAGCAUCCCUGUAGCUCACCUUGCCGCUGGGAAGGGAGGACGCUGCUCUCCUCUCCCUGCAAGGUACACUGCUGCUGGGGGACAGGACCGCUUGUCUCUGCCCCCUGUAACUCAGCCUGCCGCUGGGGAAUGGAGCUUGGGCUCCCAAUUCCCUGCAAUAUCUCCCGCUGGGGAAUGGAGCUUGGGCUCCCAAUUCCCUGCAAUACCGGUGGAGAGACCUCGGUCCCAUCUCCACCUGCCGCCUGGGGUUCCUCCCAG